rnacentral:rRNA from 1 species
GACGAACGCUGGCGGCGUGCCUAAUACAUGCAAGUCGAGCGAAUCAAUAGGAGCUUGCUCCUGUUGGUUAGCGGCGGACGGGUGAGUAACACGUGGGCAACCUGCCUGUAAGACUGGGAUAACACCGGGAAACCGGUGCUAAUACCGGAUAAUCCUUUUCCUCACAUGAGGGAAAGCUGAAAGUCGGUUUCGGCUGACACUUACAGAUGGGCCCGCGGCGCAUUAGCUAGUUGGUGAGGUAACGGCUCACCAAGGGGACGAUGCGUAGCCGACCUGAGAGGGUGAUCGGCCACACUGGGACUGAGACACGGCCCAGACUCCUACGGGAGGCAGCAGUAGGGAAUCUUCCACAAUGGACGAAAGUCUGAUGGAGCAACGCCGCGUGAGCGAUGAAGGCCUUCGGGUCGUAAAGCUCUGUUGUUAGGGAAGAACAAGUACCGGAGUAACUGCCGGUACCUUGACGGUACCUAACCAGAAAGCCACGGCUAACUACGUGCCAGCAGCCGCAGUAACAC